AUCGUUCUAAUUUUUCAUUGGUUAUCUGUCAAAACAAGUCUCUUACAUUUCAUUCCUCAUGUAUAAUCUACAUGACAAAGAACUCUUUAAUGUUUGACGCAUCGCGGAAAUUGCACAAAUAUAUAACACUUUAACGGGCUUUGUCUGACUUUAUCGGUUCUGUUCUUUUUGUGUUCAGUGAUAAUUCCGCGUAAAGACUGCUUUAUACUAUCAAAGACAAAGUUUAUGUGAUCACAGUAGGAAUUUUGCAUAGGUAAAUUCUGAGUUUUAAAGGAUUGUGAUGAGAAAUGACUGAGUCAGUUCUCUCAAACAUUUCUUACAAAUCCUUCAAAAGUUUGAUAGUGCAAAUGGGGUAAAUUAAAAUGGUUAUCGUUCCAUGUUUCGCUCACCAAUAUAGGUUAGGGUUAGAGGUUAGGUAUUAGGGUCAGAGGUUAGUGUUAAGGGUUGGGGUGUGUAUAUAUGUAUAUGGAGGUAUUCAGUUAACUUUUCAGUACACUAUAAUAUCCAUUACAUAACGUUUACUAUAUUGGUGCGCGAAACAUGGAACGAUUACCAAAUUAAUGUUCGUGGUUAAAUGUCGUGGUUAAUUUGAAGCACAGUCUUGGUCAGGAGUCCUGGUUAAUUUGAUUACCAUCAGUUACUAUUUUACCAGGCUAUAUGGUUGAAUUAAUCAGAUUAUGUUAGGUGGACUGUUAACCAAGAAUUUCUGGUUAAAUAGGCCAGGACUGUGGUUAAAUUAACCUGGGAUGUUAAAUGAAC